GUGCUUGAUUCAGCGGCAUAUAUACUAAAAUUGGAAUGAUACAGAGAAGAUUAGCAUGGCCCUCACGCAAGGAUGACACAAAUUUGUGAAGCGUUCCAUAUUUGG